AGUCGUAACAAGGUCUCCGUAGGUGAACCUGCGGAGGGAUCAUUACACAAAUAUGAAGGCGGGCUGGAACCUCUCGGGGUUACAGCCUUGCUGAAUUAUUCACCCUUGUCUUUUGCGUACUUCUUGUUUCCUUGGUGGGUUCGCCCACCACUAGGACAAACAUAAACCUUUUGUAAUUGCAAUCAGCGUCAGUAACAAAUUAAUAAUUACAACUUUCAACAACGGAUCUCUUGGUUCUGGCAUCGAUGAAGAACGCAGCGAAAUGCGAUAAGUAGUGUGAAUUGCAGAAUUCAGUGAAUCAUCGAAUCUUUGAACGCACAUUGCGCCCUUUGGUAUUCCAAAGGGCAUGCCUGUUCGAGCGUCAUUUGUACCCUCAAGCUUUGCUUGGUGUUGGGCGUCUUGUCUCUAGCUUUGCUGGAGACUCGCCUUAAAGUAAUUGGCGGCCGGCCUACUGGUUUCGGAGCGCAGCACAAGUCGCACUCUCUAUCAGCAAAGGUCUAGCAUCCAUUAAGCCUUUUUUUCAACUUUUGACCUCGGAUCAGGUAGGGAUACCCGCUGAACUUAAGCAUAUCAAUGAAGUAAAAGUCG
rnacentral:rRNA from 1 species